rnacentral:rRNA from 1 species
CCUACGGGCGGCAGCAGUGAGGGAUAUUGGUCAAUGGACGAGAGUCUGAACCAGCCAAGUAGCGUGAAGGAUGACUGCCCUAUGGGUGGUAAACUUCUUUUAUAUGGGAAUAAAACAGGGUAUGCAUACCCUCUUGUAUGUACCAUAUGAAUAAGGAUCGGCUAACUCCGUGCCAGCAGCCGCGGUAAUACGGAGGAUCCGAGCGUUAUCCGGAUUUAUGGGGUUUAAAGGGAGCGUAGGUGGAUUGUUAAGUCAGUUGUGAAAGUUUGCGGCUCAACCGUAAAAUUGCAGUUGAAACUGGCAGUCUUGAGUACAGUAGAGGUGGGCGGAAUUCGUGGUGUAGCGGUGAAAUGCUUAGAUAUCACGAAGAACUCCGGUUGCGAAGGCAGCUCGCUGGACUGCAACUGACACUGAUGCUCGAAAGUGUGGGUAUCAAACAGGAUUAGAUACCCGAGUAGUC